rnacentral:rRNA from 1 species
GAUGAACGCUGGCGGCGUGCCUAAUACAUGCAAGUCGAGCGAACAGACGAGGAGCUUGCUCCUCUGACGUUAGCGGCGGACGGGUGAGUAACACGUGGAUAACCUACCUAUAAGACUGGGAUAACUUCGGGAAACCGGAGCUAAUACCGGAUAAUAUAUUGAACCGCAUGGUUCAAUAGUGAAAGACGGUUUUGCUGUCACUUAUAGAUGGAUCCGCGCCGCAUUAGCUAGUUGGUAAGGUAACGGCUUACCAAGGCAACGAUGCGUAGCCGACCUGAGAGGGUGAUCGGCCACACUGGAACUGGAACACGGUCCAGACUCCUACGGGGGGCAGCAGUAGGGAAUCUUCCGCAAUGGGCGAAAGCCUGACGGAGCAACGCCGCGUGAGUGAUGAAGGUCUUCGGAUCGUAAGACUCUGUUAUUAGGGAAGAACAAAUGUGUAAGUAACUAUGCACGUCUUGACGGUACCUAAUCAGAAAGCCACGGCUAACUACGUG